CCUUCCGUAGGUGAACCUGCGGAAGGAUCAUUACUG
rnacentral:rRNA from 1 species